rnacentral:tRNA from 2 species
GGUCUCGUAGUUCAAUGGACAGAAUAGAUGUUUCCUAAACAUUUGAUAGCAGUUCGAUUCUGCUCGAGACUACCA